rnacentral:rRNA from 1 species
AGAGUUUGAUCCUGGCUCAGGAUGAACGCUGGCGGCGUGCUUAACACAUGCAAGUCGAACGAGCCUUCGGGCGAGUGGCGGACGGGUGAGUAACGCGUGGGAAUCUGCCCUUAGGAGGGGGAUAACGGCCGGAAACGGCCGCUAAUACCCCAUAUGCCGAGAGGUGAAAUGAAUUUCGCCUGAGGAUGAGCCCGCGUCUGAUUAGCUAGUUGGUGGGGUAAUGGCCCACCAAGGCGACGAUCAGUAGCUGGUCUGAGAGGAUGAUCAGCCACACUGGGACUGAGACACGGCCCAGACUCCUACGGGAGGCAGCAGUGGGGAAUUUUCCGCAAUGGGCGAAAGCCUGACGGAGCAACGCCGCGUGAGGGAUGAAGGCCUCUGGGCUGUAAACCUCUUUUCUCAAGGAAGAAGACAUGACGGUACUUGAGGAAUAAGCCACGGCUAAUUCCGUGCCAGCAGCCGCGGUAAUACGGGAGUGGCAAGCGUUAUCCGGAAUUAUUGGGCGUAAAGCGUCCGCAGGCGGCCUUGUAAGUCUGUCGUUAAAGCGUGGAGCUUAACUCCAUUUCAGCGAUGGAAACUACAAGGCUUGAGUGUGGUAGGGGCAGAGGGAAUUCCCGGUGUAGCGGUGAAAUGCGUAGAUAUCGGGAAGAACACCAGUGGCGAAGGCGCUCUGCUGGGCCAUAACUGACGCUCAUGGACGAAAGCCAGGGGAGCGAAAGGGAUUAGAUACCCCUGUAGUCCUGGCCGUAAACGAUGAACACUAGGUGUCGGGGGAAUCGACCCCCUCGGUGUCGUAGCUAACGCGUUAAGUGUUCCGCCUGGGGAGUACGCACGCAAGUGUGAAACUCAAAGGAAUUGACGGGGGCCCGCACAAGCGGUGGAGUAUGUGGUUUAAUUCGAUGCAACGCGAAGAACCUUACCAGGGUUUGACAUCCUGCGAAUCCCUUGGAAACGAGGGAGUGCCUUCGGGAGCGCAGAGACAGGUGGUGCAUGGCUGUCGUCAGCUCGUGUCGUGAGAUGUUGGGUUAAGUCCCGCAACGAGCGCAACCCACGUCUUUAGUUGCCAGCAUUCAGUUGGGCACUCUAGAGAGACCGCCGGUGAUAAACCGGAGGAAGGUGUGGAUGACGUCAAGUCAUCAUGCCCCUUACAUCCUGGGCUACACACGUACUACAAUGCUACGGACAAAGGGUUGCAAGCUCGCGAGAGUUAGCUAAUCCCAUAAACCGUGGCUCAGUUCAGAUCGUAGGCUGCAACUCGCCUACGUGAAGGAGGAAUCGCUAGUAAUCGCAGGUCAGCAUACUGCGGUGAAUACGUUCCCGGGCCUUGUACACACCGCCCGUCACACCAUGGAAGUUGGCCAUGCCCGAAGUCGUUACUCCAACCCUUGUGGAGGAGGACGCCGAAGGUGGGGCUGAUGACUGGGGUGAAGUCGUAACAAGGUA